rnacentral:rRNA from 1 species
ACCGACUAAUGUUGAAAAAUUAGCGGAUGACCUGUGGCUGGGGGUGAAAGGCCAAUCAAACCGGGAGAUAGCUGGUUCUCCCCGAAAGCUAUUUAGGUAGCGCCUCGUGAAUUCAUCUCCGGGGGUAGAGCACUGUUUCGGCUAGGGGGCCAUCCCGGCUUACCAACCCGAUGCAAACUGCGAAUACCGGAGAAUGUUAUCACGGGAGACACACGGCGGGUGC